CGGCACGUAGCGCAGCCUCGGUAGCGCACCGUCAUGGGGUGUCGGGGUCGGAGGUUCAAAUCCUCUCGUGCCGACCA
rnacentral:tRNA from 1 species